UGGGGAAUUUUGGACAAUGGGGGAAACUCUGAUCCAGCCAUCCCGCGUGUGCGAUGAAGGCCUUCGGGUUGUAAAGCACUUUUGGCAGGAAAGAAACGUCAUGGGUUAAUACCCCGUGAAACUGACGGUACCUGCAGAAUAAGCACCGGCUAACUACGUGCCAGCAGCCGCGGUAAUACGUAGGGUGCAAGCGUUAAUCGGAAUUACUGGGCGUAAAGCGUGCGCAGGCGGUUCGGAAAGAAAGAUGUGAAAUCCCAGAGCUUAACUUUGGAACUGCAUUUUUAACUACCGGGCUAGAGUGUGUCAGAGGGAGGUGGAAUUCCGCGUGUAGCAGUGAAAUGCGUAGAUAUGCGGAGGAACACCGAUGGCGAAGGCAGCCUCCUGGGAUAACACUGACGCUCAUGCACGAAAGCGUGGGGAGCAAACAGGAUUAGAUACCCAAGUAGUCCCUGAGCGGGCUGGCAAGGCGCAU
rnacentral:rRNA from 1 species